rnacentral:rRNA from 1 species
CACGUAGGGUGCGAGCGUUGUCCGGAAUUAUUGGGCGUAAAGAGCUCGUAGGCGGUGUGUCGCGUCGGCCGUGAAAACCUGUGGCUUAACUAUGGGCUUGCGGUCGAUACGGGCAUCACUGGAGUUCGGCAGGGGAGACUGGAAUUCCUGGUGUAGCGGUGAAAUGCGCAGAUAUCGGGAAGAACACCCGUGGCGAAGGCGGUUCUCUGGGACGGUACUGACGCUGAGACGCGAAAGCGUGGGGAGCGAACAGG